AGCCCCGUCGUCUAGUGGUCACGGAUGUCAGCCUCUGGAGCUGAAGACGGGAGUUCGACUCUCCCCGGGGCUA
rnacentral:tRNA from 1 species